GAGUCGUGUGCGAGUCAUGAGUAGCGCAUGACCGAAUGCCAACGAACAUUCACGAUCUUGUACCGCUCUAUGGCAAUGUUGUAUCGUAAUAUCAAAAGGCCCGGCGUUAUCACAACGAUAGACAAAAAAAUUAGUUUUAUCCUAUUUUCAAUUUUAUUUUUUUUUUUAUUAAAUUCGUGAUAUAUUUGUUAAGUUUUACUACAAAGUGCUUGACGUGACACAAUGGUGAGCAUCGAAAGAUUAACAGCUACGUUGAUUAUUAUGAAUUAUAAUACGUCAAUAUUUGGCGUUAUUAUGAAACAAUUGUGAAACAAUGUUGUAUGAAAUAAAAAUAAUAUUAUUAUUUCAUAUUAAGUGUUAGCAUAUCAUUAAAUAACAGUGAAAAUGUGUUUAUAUAAAUUAAAUAUUUUAUAUAAAAAAGGGGCAUACGAGGUGUUUUUUUAAAAUGGAAUGGUACAUUGAUAAAUUAAAGAAAAAAAUUUUAUACUUUAAUAAUACUAUUACUAAAAUUCAAGAAAGAAUAAAAUAAAAAAAAAAAGUCUUCAAUAAAAGACAUCUCAUACAUUUCUUUUGAGAAAAUAUAAAUAUUUAAAAAAAAUUGACUGAUAUACUAAAAGAAAAAAAAAGUAUCUAAUAUCAUCCGUCCGAUCAGUGUCGAUCUAUAAUUUUGGUGCAUCACAUUGGUGUCUUGAAAGAUGCAAGUUGGCGCGAGAAGACAAAACGUCGAGACGACAACGAUAGAAAUCAUUGUCAUUGCACGCCCCUGGUGGUAGUCGUCGUUUGCACCCUUUGCUUAACCAUCACCCCCUUCUGCCGCCUUUCUCAUCUCGAUAAUAAAAAUCAUAUUAAUAAUAACUUUGCAUCUUGGCUAUAUAGGCAAUGUGCAACGAGGUGCGAUAGGCAAAUUAAAGUGAGAUAAGAAUUGAAAAUAAAACAAAGGGAUGCUUAUAAAUGAGAAUGAUUGAAAUUUGAAAAAAUUAAUAAUGCAGUAAUGCCAAGAUAGAAAUUCUUUUUUUUUUUUUUUUUGUUUUUUUACAAAAGUGGAAAAAGAUUAUGCAAGAUUAGAUUGGGGUGGUUAAACCACUUAAUAUUGUGUGCCAGCAGUGUGUCAAGUUGAUGUGAAGAAACAUUCACCAUCGUAGGCCUGGAAGAAGAAGCAGCCAUUUUGGUGGCUUCGGG